GAUGAACGCUGGCGGCGUGCCUAAUACAUGCAAGUCGAGCGAACAGACGAGGAGCUUGCUCCUCUGACGUUAGCGGCGGACGGGUGAGUAACACGUGGAUAACCUACCUAUAAGACUGGGAUAACUUCGGGAAACCGGAGCUAAUACCGGAUAACAUGUUGAACCGCAUGGUUCAACAGUGAAAGACGGUCUUGCUGUCACUUAUAGAUGGAUCCGCGCCGCAUUAGCUAGUUGGUAAGGUAACGGCUUACCAAGGCAACGAUGCGUAGCCGACCUGAGAGGGUGAUCGGCCACACUGGAACUGAGAAACGGUCCAGACUCCUACGGGAGGCAGCAGUAGGGAAUCUUCCGCAAUGGGCGAAAGCCUGACGGAGCAACGCCGCGUGAGUGAUGAAGGUCUUCGGAUCGUAAAACUCUGUUAUUAGGGAAGAACAAAUGUGUAAGUAACUAUGCACGUCUUGACGGUACCUAAUCAGAAAGCCACGGCUAACUACGUG
rnacentral:rRNA from 1 species